GAUGAAGAACGCAGCGAAAUGCGAUAAGUAAUGUGAAUUGCAGAAUUCAGUGAAUCAUCGAAUAUUUGAACGCACAUUGCGCCCGCCAGUAUUCUGGCGGGCAUGCCUGUUCGAGCGUCAUUACAACCCUCAGGCCCCCGGGCCUGGCGUUGGGGAUCGGCGGAAGCCCCCUGCGGGCACAACGCCGUCCCCCAAAUACAGUGGCGGUCCCGCCGCAGCUUCCAUUGCGUAGUAGCUAACACCUCGCAACUGGAGAGCGGCGCGGCCACGCCGUAAAACACCCAACUUCUGAAUGUUGACCUCGAAUCAGGUAGGAAUACCCGCUGAACUUAAGCAUAUCAAUAAGCGGAGGA
rnacentral:misc_RNA from 1 species